rnacentral:tRNA from 1 species
AGCAGUGUGAUAUAAUGGUUUGAGGGUUGAACUAGGACUCCAGGAGACCAGGGUUCAAUUCCCUGCUCAGCUG